GAUGAACGCUGGCGGCGUGCCUAAUACAUGCAAGUCGAGCGAAGCGGGGACGGGUGAGUAACGCGUGGAUAACUGCCGAUAAGGCUGGAAUAACUUCGGAAACCGGGAGCAAAACCGGAAAGUUAUCGAUGGGUCCGAGCUGGAUUAGCUAGUUGGUAAGGUAACGGCUUACCAAGGCAACGAUGCAUAGCCGGUCUGAGAGGGUGACCGGCCACACUGGAACUGAGACACAGUCCAGACUCCUACGGGAGGCAGCAGUAGGGAAUCUUCCGCAAUGGGCGAAAGCCUGACGCAGCAACGCCGCGUGAGUGAAGAAGGCCUUCGGAUCGUAAAACACUGUUAGCAGGGAAGCGGUACCCAAACAGAAAGCAACGGCUAACUACGUGCCAGCAGCCGCGGUAAUUC
rnacentral:rRNA from 1 species